CCCGCCAUAGUUUAUACAAAACAUCGACCUGCAAAAUCGAGAAAGGAGAUAUUUCCUGGUGUGUUU
rnacentral:tRNA from 1 species